GGGGAGGAGGCAUGAUUUAAUCUUACAACAAAUCCAGUAAGCAAAUCUUUAUAAAUUUUUGGGGGGGAGGGGUCAGCUCUGUUUCCACAGUUUAUUGGUGUUUACUCUGAUGUCUGUAUUAAUUUUGAGUGAGUAACAUCAGUGUGUGUCAGCAGGGCCAGCCGUUGGGGUGUACAAGCUGUGCGGUCACGCAGGGUGCCAUGACAACAGAGGUUGGGGACACCAGCAUAUUCAAUUUAAACGAGUCGCUGGUGGUCCACUGGUGCGCACCAGUAGUAAGUGCAGUCAGAUUAUAUCCUCUCCCUCGUGGUUCCGGCGCUUAGUUAGAGAGUCAGAGCACAGGCUCAGAGAUUCUCAGCCUGCACUCUGACAACAUUGAAAGUCAGAGCCGUGAAGGAGUGGCUAUGGCAAAGAGCUACUGAUUAGCAUAACAUCAAUAUCCAUUAUAAAACCAGGAAA